GAGUCACAUGUACUGAUAACCGCACAUGCAAUGGAAGAUCACUUCCUGAUUGGAUUUCUCUAGUGCUUCUUCAAUAAGUUACAACUUAAUAAUAACAAUAAGUGCCUUCCUAACAUCUGACAUCCUGUCACAAAUGGAUGAUUGCCUUACCUGGGCUUUUGCAGGAUAGAUGCACAACACUUUUAUCGCAUCUGAUUUUGGAAGACUGGAAGGAAAGAGUUAAGCAUGAUCCUGUAAAGUUUCCAAGCUCUCUUGGAAGAUCUCCCCCCUGCCUGGAUCCAGCCUUCUGCACUUCUUGCUGCCAUGGCUUAUUGUCCUUUAAGAAAACCUUAAAUGUGAAAGGCACACAUCAGUAAAGGGCAAACAUCUGCUAGCAGCAAGGGACAUUUCAGAGCAAUGAAGUACAAG